AGGGUGCUGCUGGUCCCCCUCGACUCACUCUUACAAGAGGCCACGGCAGAGGCUGCUGGUGGCCUACUCCGUAUCCAUUCACCCGGUCUUCCUUCCAGACAGAACCUUGGGUAAUGUGCUGCAAAACCACAUUUCCCAGACUCUCUUGCAGGUACGGGUGGACCAAUGAAAACUGAUCCCAGUUCCUCCUCCUUCCUGCCCACGUGGCUGGUCCUCCAGCCACCCCGUUGGACCAUGAGGUGACCUUGAGUAAAGUGGCCGCCUGCAAAGGAGAGUGGAAGCGGACAAGAUCCCACGGAAUCAGCAUACCAGCUCAGAUACUCAGUCAUUCCAUAAACAGCCUUCCCUGACUUCCCCAAGCUGGACCAGGACCCCUCCAGAAACCCGCAGGCCCCAGGCUCCUACUUUCUCAGUGUGCCAGUGUCCGUCUCCUCCCCCGGUCCAUCUACCCCUUCAGGACAGAGACGAAGUACCGGACCUUCUACAACCCCAUGUGAAGGCUCUCUGGCCGGAGGACUGCCUGCUCAGGACGUAGCACAAUGCCCGUAGGCUUCGCGUCCAGCGUGGAACCCAAUGUGGGGCUUGAAUUCAUGACCCUGAGAUCAAGACCUGAGCUGAGAUCAAGAGUCAGAUGCUUAACCGACAGAGCCACCCAGGCGCCCCUGAAAUCACAUUUGAGGUACACUAGUGAGGUUCAGUAUGUAAAGGAAACCUGUUAUGAAAUCUUUUAUAAAGCAAGUUCAUUGAA